rnacentral:rRNA from 1 species
AGAGAGAGACAUGCGCGCAUAUCAAUAAGCGGAGGAAAAGAAACUAACAAGGAUUCCCUUAGUAACGGCGAGUGAAGCGGGAAGAGCUCAAAUUUGAAAUCUUCAAGGUUCUACCUUGACGAAUUGUAGUUUAUAGAAGUGUUUUCUGUUAGUGGAGUGGCAAAAGUUCUUUGGAAUAGGACAUCAUAGAGGGUGAGAAUCCCGUAUUUGGUCAUUCCUCCUAGCGUUGUGAUACACUUUCAACGAGUCGGAUUGUUUGGGAAUGCAGUCCAAAAUGGGUGGUAAAUUUCAUCUAAAGCUAAAUAUUGGCGAGAGACCGAUAGCGAACAAGUACCGUGAGGGAAAGAUGAAAAGAACUUUGAAAAGAGAGUUAAACAGUACGUGAAAUUGUCAAAAGGGAAGCGUUUGACACCAGUGUUGUUUUUCCGAAAAUCAAUUACGAAUGUUUUGCUUUUUGAGGAGUUAUGACUUCAUCGGCUUGCUCCUUUCUUUAUGAAACUUUCUUAAUGCACUUUUCGGUUAACAAGUCAACAUCAAUUUCUUUUGUUGUAAAAGGGUAUGAGGAAGGUGGCUUUCUUUUCGGAGAAAGUGUUUAUAGCCUUGUGCCUCUGCAAUCGGAGAGAUUGAGGUCUGCAGCGUAGAUCCUUCGGGGUUAGAUACGUUUGUGCUAAGUUAUAGCUUUUCAUAGACAACUUGUUGACUAUGUUUAGUCUUGUAGCUUACUCGCUGAUGCUAUUUUACCUACGCUUAGGAUGUUGAUAGUCACAGCGUGUA